GAUGAACGCUGGCGGCGUGCCUAAUACAUGCAAGUCGAGCGAACAGACGAGGAGCUUGCUCCUCUGACGUUAGCGGCGGACGGGUGAGUAACACGUGGAUAACCUACCUAUAAGACUGGGAUAACUUCGGGAAACCGGAGCUAAUACCGGAUAAUAUAUUGAACCGCAUGGUUCAAUAGUGAAAGACGGUUUUGCUGUCACUUAUAGAUGGAUCCGCGCCGCAUUAGCUAGUUGGUAAGGUAACGGCUUACCAAGGCAACGAUGCGUAGCCGACCUGAGAGGGUGAUCGGCCACAUGGGAACUGGGACACGGUCCAGACUCCUACGGGAGGCAGCAGUAGGGAAUCUUCCGCAAUGGGCGAAAGCCUGACGGAGCAACGCCGCGUGAGUGAUGAAGGUCUUCGGAUCGUAAAACUCUGUUAUUAGGGAAGAACAAAUGUGUAAGUAACUAUGCACGUCUUGACGGUACCUAAUCAGAAAGCCACGGCUAACUACGUG
rnacentral:rRNA from 1 species